AUGGCUGUCGUCAGCUCGUGUCGUGAGAUGUUGGGUUAAGUCCCGCAACGAGCGCAACCCUUACUUUUAGUUGCUACCAUUCAGUUGGGCACUCUAAAAGAACUGCCAGUGAUAAGCUGGAGGAAGGUGGGGAUGACGUCAAGUCCUCAUGGCCCUUACGUGUUGGGCUACACACGUGCUACAAUGGUACUUACAGUGAGAAGCAAAGAGGCAACUCUAAGCCAAUCCCAAAAAGGUACCUCAGUUCGGAUUGCACUCUGCAACUCGAGUGCAUGAAGCUGGAAUUGCUAGUAAUCGCGGAUCAGCGCGCCGCGGUGAAUACGUUCCCGGGUCUUGUACACACCGCCCGUCACACCAUGGAAGUUGGUUACACCUUAAGGCAAAAUGUUAACCUUCGGGAAACAUUUGACUACGGUACGACCAGCGACUGGGGUGAAGUCGUAACAAGGUAGCCGUAGGGGAACCUGCGGCUGGAUCACCUCCUUUCUAAGGAAAUCGAAAAAUAUUAAAACAAUUAUUUUCGAUUUAAAAAAAACCGGUAAUGUGACCGUCCUCAUUUCUCUUCUUUUAAUGUCUCUGAGUAUGAAUCAAGGGGCCGGUAGCUCAGUUGGUUAGAGCGCACCCCUGAUAAGGGUGAGGUCGGAAGUUCGAGUCUUCCUCGGCCCACCAAUAUUAAGGGGGAUUAGCUCAGCUGGGAGAGCGCCUGAUUUGCAUUCAGGAGGUCAGCGGUUCGAUCCCGCUAUCCUCCACCAAAUUUGAGACAUUUAGCUUUUUUAAAUUGUGAAUUAUUAUUAAUAUCAAUAUCUAUAUCCGAUUGUUUUCAGAUAUUUUUUUGAAAACAAUCAAAACAAAAAUUUGAAUUUUACACAGAAAGUUUUUUUCUGUGCAUAAAUCAAGCGUUUAAGGGCGAUUGGCGGAUGCCUUGGCACUGUAAGACGAUGAAGGACGUGGUAUACUGCGAUAAGUUUCGGGGAGCCGUAUGCAGGCUUUGAUCCGAAAAUUUCCGAAUGGGGAAACCCGG
rnacentral:sRNA from 1 species